rnacentral:misc_RNA from 1 species
AAAGUGCGACAAGUGUCAUGACUUGCAGAUACCCGAGAGCUGACAAAUUUCUGAAUGCAAAUUGCAGCCAAGUUAACCUGGCUAUACAUUGUAGAGAGUACUUAGCGUACGCUCCUCAUCCAACGUUGUUUUCUCAACGCUGGGACAUGCAAUCCCGAGAACUAAUCCUUCUCCCGGUUGUCAAAGUUAGAAAACUUUCUAGUUUUCCCGAAUCAAACCGAGACGAUAAGAAAUACCACCAUUUUUCUUUCUCUUCUCACAUCUUACCUCUGCAAUGUAGGAGAACCCGCUGAACUUAA